CCUUUUUAUUCAUCUUUUCGAACACCUAAUACAAAAUUCUCACAUCAUAUGGCAGCUACUCGAAGCCCCAUUCAUUCUCUAACCAAAACUCAAUUCCCACAAAUUGAAUUCCAAGUCCCAGAAAGCAAACAAAAACCCUACCGAUGCCGAUGCCGAUGCCUGGCACAUAUCCCUGGGAAGUGUCCAAAGACAAGCAGAAGAGCUGCCAGGAAUAGUAAAGCUCUGAAUUUUAUAUGCUGACGUCUGAUUAUCGACACGCUACUCCUCCUGCUCCUGCUCCACCACUGCCUCGUCCACCCGAUUUGGAGGCUGAGUCAGAGUCUGAGUAAAAAGUGCUGCUGCCAUGUGGCGGUGGCAUCCCAAGAAUGGCGCCUGGCGAAGAAAGGAAAUCCAAAGAUGCCAAACAUUUUGUAUGGCUGGGCAAAGAAGAAGAAAGGCAAAAAGGAUGAGGAGGUCCUACGUCCUGCGACCUGUGAUUGUGUGUAGACCGAGCUGUAGAUUGUGUUGCAGAUUGCAACCAAGGAGCCAGGUCCUGUCCUGUCCUGUACUGUACUGUCAUGUGACUGCCACAACAGCAGAAACCAACAGAAACCACAAACAAGAAAAAGCAUUGCAUUGAUAAGGCCAGAAAUCAGGUCACAAAUUACUUCUGUGUGUGUGUGUGUGUAU